UACGUAGGCAGCGAGCGUUGUUCGGAAUUACUGGGCGUAAAGAGUGUGUAGGCGGUGCUCCCAGUCUGUUGUGAAAUCUCCCGGCUUAACUGGGAGGGUGCAGCGGAAACUAGAGUGCUAGAGGGUGGGAGAGGUAAGCGGAAUUCCUGGUGUAGCGGUGGAAAUGCGUAGAUAUCAGGAGGAACACCUGUGGCGAAAGCGGCGCACUGGACCACAACUGACGCUGAGGCGCGAAAGCUAGGGGAGCAAACAGG
rnacentral:rRNA from 1 species